GAUGAACGCUGGCGGCGUGCCUAAUACAUGCAAGUCGAGCGAACAGGCGAGGAUCUUGCUCCUCUGACGUUUGCGGCUGACGGGUGAGUAACACGUGUAUAACCUACCUAUAAGACUGGUAUAACUUCGGGAAACCGGCUCUAAUACCGGAUAAUAUAUUGAACCGCAUGGUUCAAUAGUUAAAUACGGUUUUUCUGUCUCUUCUUGAUUGUUCCGCGCCGCAUUAGCUAGUUGGUAAGUUAACGGCUUACCAAGGCAACGAUGCGUAGCCGACCUGAGAGGGUGAUCGGCAACACUGGAAGUGAGACACGGACAAGACUACUACGGGAGGAAGCAGAAGGGAAUGUGACGAAAUGGGCGAAAGCAUGACGGAGCAAAGGAGAGGGAGAGAUGAAGGACUUCGGAGCGUAAAAAUCUGUUAGGAGGGAAGAACAAAUGUGUAAGUAAAAAAGCAGGUAGUGACGGUAACUAAUAAGAAAGCAACGGCUAACUACGUG
rnacentral:rRNA from 1 species